AAUUUUGGACAAUGGGCGCAAGCCUGAUCCAGCCAUGCCGCGUGAGCGAAGAGGGCCUUCGGGUUGCAACGCUCUUUGGGGCGGAAAGAAACCGCCCAUGCUAACACCCUGGCCGGAUGACGGUACCGUCAUAAGAAGCCCCCGCUAACUACGCGCCAGCCGCCGCGGUAAUACGGAGGGCGCGAGCGUUAAUCGGAAUUACUGGGCGUAAAGCGUGCGCAGGCGGUUGAUUAAGACAGGCGUGAAAUCCCCGGGCUUAACCUGGGAACUGCGCUUGUGACUGGUCAGCUAGAGUAGGGCAGAGGGAGGUAGAAUUCCAGGUGUAGCAGUGAAAUGCGUAGAGAUGUGGAGGAACACCGAUGGCGAAGGCAGCCCCCUGGGCCGAUACUGACGCUCAUGCACGAAAGCGUGGGUAGCAAACAGG
rnacentral:rRNA from 1 species